UUUUUUUCUGCCUUUUUGACACACAGUGAGUUUGUACUGUAUAUUUUGCAAACCUUAUGUGUGCUACGGCUUUAUAAUACUUUAUAUGUUGCUCAGCUAUGUUGUCUGAGUACAGCAAUACCCCCGUAUGUACCUUUGCCAGGUAUAUGUGGACGUUGAAGGGGCACAUUUCAGACACAGCCAUUGCAGGUUUUUUCAAACUUUGAAUUUUUAUGCUGUGCUAUUACCCCAC